rnacentral:rRNA from 1 species
GAUGGUGCUUGCACUAUCACUUAGCGGCGGACGGGUGAGUAAUGCUUAGGAAUCUGCCUAUUAGUGGGGGACAACAUCUCGAAAGGGAUGCUAAUACCGCAUACGUCCUACGGGAGAAAGCAGGGGAUCACUUGUGACCUUGCGCUAAUAGAUGAGCCUAAGUCGGAUUAGCUAGUUGGUGGGGUAAAGGCCUACCAAGGCGACGAUCUGUAGCGGGUCUGAGAGGAUGAUCCGCCACACUGGGACUGAGACACGGCCCAGACUCCUACGGGAGGCAGCAGUGGGGAAUAUUGGACAAUGGGGGGAACCCUGAUCCAGCCAUGCCGCGUGUGUGAAGAAGGCCUUAUGGUUGUAAAGCACUUUAAGCGAGGAGGAGGCUCUUUUGGUUAAUACCCAAGAUGAGUGGACGUUACUCGCAGAAUAAGCACCGGCUAACUCUGUGCCAGCAGCCGCGGUAAUACAGAGGGUGCAAGCGUUAAUCGGAUUUACUGGGCGUAAAGCGCGCGUAGGCGGCCAAUUAAGUCAAAUGUGAAAUCCCCGAGCUUAACUUGGGAAUUGCAUUCGAUACUGGUUGGCUAGAGUGUGGGAGAGGAUGGUAGAAUUCCAGGUGUAGCGGUGAAAUGCGUAGAGAUCUGGAGGAAUACCGAUGGCGAAGGCAGCCAUCUGGCCUAACACUGACGCUGAGGUGCGAAAGCAUGGGGAGCAAACAGGAUUAGAUACCCUGGUAGUCCAUGCCGUAAACGAUGUCUACUAGCCGUUGGGGCCUUUGAGGCUUUAGUGGCGCAGCUAACGCGAUAAGUAGACCGCCUGGGGAGUACGGUCGCAAGACUAAAACUCAAAUGAAUUGACGGGGGCCCGCACAAGCGGUGGAGCAUGUGGUUUAAUUCGAUGCAACGCGAAGAACCUUACCUGGUCUUGACAUAGU